rnacentral:rRNA from 1 species
CUAUAGCUUGACACUGAACAUUGAGCCUUGAUGUGUAGGAUAGGUGGGAGGCUUUGAAGUGUGGACGCCAGUCUGCAUGGAGCCGACCUUGAAAUACCACCCUUUAAUGUUUGAUGUUCUAACGUGGACCCGUAAUCCGGGUUGCGGACAGUGUCUGGUGGGUAGUUUGACUGGGGCGGUCUCCUCCUAAAGAGUAACGGAGGAGCACGAAGGUUGGCUAAUCCUGGUCGGACAUCAGGAGGUUAGUGCAAUGGCAUAAGCCAGCUUGACUGCGAGCGUGACGGCGCGAGCAGGUGCGAAAGCAGGUCAUAGUGAUCCGGUGGUUCUGAAUGGAAGGGCCAUCGCUCAACGGAUAAAAGGUACUCCGGGGAUAACAGGCUGAUACCGCCCAAGAGUUCAUAUCGACGGCGGUGUUUGGCACCUCGAUGUCGGCUCAUCACAUCCUGGGGCUGAAGUAGGUCCCAAGGGUAUGGCUGUUCGCCAUUUAAAGUGGUACGCGAGCUGGGUUUAGAACGUCGUGAGACAGUUCGGUCCCUAUCUGCCGUGGGCGCUGGAGAACUGAGGGGGGCUGCUCCUAGUACGAGAGGACCGGAGUGGACGCAUCACUGGUGUUCGGGUUGUCAUGCCAAUGGCACUGCCCGGUAGCUAAAUGCGGAAGAGAUAAGUGCUGAAAGCAUCUAAGCACGAAACUUGCCCCGAGAUGAGUUCUCCCUGAGACUUAGAG